UUGCACCGGGCGGCAGACAACCGGGGGUAGAGGAGCCAGCCGUCCCGUUUAUUAGGGGAUCGCGCCGUUUUGGAAAGAAAGCUGCCCGUAUUGAUGUACGGAAAUACGCCAUUAGCCCCGCAUGUCCGUAUACACCGUCAAUCUCCCGCCGCUCGGCGUGGGAACCCCCAAAUUAUACCGCCGUCUUACCCAUCCGUGACACUUUUCUACGACGGAAACCGAUCCGCGGACAUCGAAAGCAAACUGACAAACAGAAUAAGUCCAGGACACUGGAAAAUACUUGAAAAACAUGGUAAAGUGGAUUUCAGCAUUUUCUGUCGUCACAUUUGUAUUAGAAUUGUAACAAAUGUCUUCGUUAGUACUAUAUUGUAUUUCGCAGGAUGUUCCUUGACAGAUUGGUUCUGUGGACUGUGGUGCGUUCAUGUUGAUUGUUGUCACGUCACGGAUCGGGGAAGCAGGAGCAGGAAGACGGAGAAUCGGGAAACAAAGGAUUUAUUGGGGAAACCAGCUAGGAACACGGGGCAAUAGAAGUAGCGACUUAAAUAACAUGAUUGGGGAAACAUAUUUUGAAGCGGAGUUAAAUACAUAGGACUAAUGAAAACAACUGGAAACAGCGAAUGACAUCGGGGUUCCACACGAGGUUAACGAGGGGGCGUGGCACACGGGAGGAGCGGACAAGCGGCGCAUGACAAUUGUAAGACAGACCACCUUGAAUUGUUGGACUUGUGAUACAGAGAAUGUAUUGAAGUUUUCCCCCCUCCCCUCCCUUUUAUCAGUAUGCACUCUGCAUGGCCUUGGUGUGUCUUGAGUAUUACAAAAUGCACCAUGAACUGUCUAUAUUAUAUUUUUAUUUUAAGUCAUAAUAUGUGAAUUUGAUCUGUUGUUUUUCAGUGAGUUGCAGGGAUUUGACAAAAACAUCCUUUUAGAAAUGCGUGAGGAAGGUCAAGACUCUGGUCUCCAGCUCACCGCUCUCUCUUACAUUUCCAUGGCCAUUUUGUCCGAUAGUAUUAUUGGAUUUUUCUAUGCUAUAUAUAUAUUUUUUAUGUUUAGUUAUUCUGUGCUCCAUAAUUAUAAAUAAUAGUUUAUUUUCCUUGUGACGUGUCUGUGCUUAAUAGUAUUAAAUAAGAGUUUAAACAACUACAGUUUCCUCAGUAAUGUAUUUCAUGAACUGAUACUUCCCCAA